GCGAGUCUCUGAACUCCCAACCUUUGUGAACGUACCACGUUGCUUCGGCGGAUCGCCCCAGGGCUAGCAGUGCGCUGCCCCGGAGCCAGGCGCCCGCCGGGGGACCCAACUAUCUUGUUUCCCAGUGGAAUCUUCUGAGUCGUGGGAUAAUAAGCAAUCA
rnacentral:misc_RNA from 1 species